AUGUGGAACGGCGGGCCGCCGCCGCCGCUGCCGCCCAUGGCGGCCGCGCCCCCUCCCCCGGGCACGGCCGGCGCGGGCCUGCCCCCGCCCCCUCCCCCGCCGGCCGCCGCGCCCCCGCAGGCCGGCCAGCCGCUCACCCCGGCGGAGCUCGAGGCGCAGCUCGUCGAGAAGGCCCGCAAGUGGCACCAGCUCAACACCAAGCGCUACGGCGACAAGCGCAAGUUCGGCUUCGUCGAGGCGCAGAAGGAGGACAUGCCCCCCGAGCACGUCCGCAAAAUCAUCAGGGACCAUGGGGACAUGUCUUCGAAGAAGUACAGGCAUGACAAGCGUGUUUAUCUUGGAGCACUCAAAUUUGUGCCUCAUGCUGUUUACAAACUACUGGAGAAUAUGCCGAUGCCCUGGGAACAAGUUCGCGAUGUUAAGAUCUUGUACCAUAUCACUGGCGCCAUAACCUUCGUAAAUGAGAUCCCAUGGGUAGUUGAGCCCAUUUACUUGGCGCAGUGGGGCUCUAUGUGGAUCAUGAUGCGAAGGGAGAAGAGAGAUAGGCGGCAUUUCAAGAGAAUGCGCUUUCCUCCAUUUGAUGACGAGGAACCUCCACUGGAUUAUGCUGAUAAUUUGUUGGACGUUGAACCACUGGAGGCUAUACAACUGGAGUUGGACCCAGAGGAAGAUGGAGCUGUGUAUAACUGGUUUUAUGAUCACAAUCCCCUCGUGAAGACCAAUUUUAUAAAUGGUCCCAGCUAUAGGAAGUGGAAUCUGUCUCUUCCCAUCAUGGCAACACUUUAUCGCCUCGCUGGUCAACUUUUGUCAGACUUGACUGAUCGGAAUUAUUUCUAUUUGUUUGACAUGGAGUCUUUCUUUACUGCCAAAGCACUUAACAUGUGCAUCCCAGGUGGUCCAAAGUUUGAGCCAUUGUACCGUGAUAUGGAGAAGGGGGAUGAGGACUGGAAUGAAUUUAAUGACAUCAAUAAACUCAUCAUCCGUCAACCACUUCGGACCGAGUACAGAAUUGCGUUCCCCCACCUGUACAAUAACAGGCCAAGGAAAGUGAGACUUUGCAUAUAUCAUACUCCUAUGAUAAUGUAUAUCAAGACAGAAGAUCCAGAUCUGCCUGCAUUUUAUUAUGAUCCUCUGAUAAAUCCGAUCACUUCAACCAGCAAGGUUGAUCGUCGGGAGAAGAAAGCAAGUGAAGAUGACGACGAAGAUGACUUUAGUCUCCCUGAGGGUGUGGAGCCUCUUUUGAACCAUAUUCCACUUUACACUGACACGACAGCUGCCGGCAUUUCAUUGCUUUUUGCUCCAAGGCCUUUUAACAUGAGAUCUGGUAGAACACGCCGUGCUGAGGAUAUCCCACUUGUCUCUGAAUGGUUCAAAGAGCACUGUCCACCAGCGUAUCCAGUUAAGGUCCGGGUGAGCUACCAGAAGCUGCUGAAGUGCUAUGUGCUCAAUGAGCUACAUCAUAGGCCUCCUAAAGCACAGAAGAAGAAACAUCUGUUCCGUUCACUGCAAGCAACGAAGUUCUUCCAAAGUACAGAGCUUGAUUGGGCAGAAGCUGGGCUGCAAGUUUGCAAGCAGGGCUACAACAUGCUUAACUUGUUGAUUCACAGGAAGAAUCUGAACUAUCUUCACUUGGACUACAAUUUCAAUUUGAAGCCUGUGAAGACACUCACAACAAAAGAGAGAAAGAAAUCUCGUUUUGGAAAUGCUUUCCACUUGUGUCGUGAGAUUCUGCGACUUACGAAGCUGGUUGUUGAUGCAAACAUCCAGUUUCGCUUGGGAAAUGUUGACGCCUUUCAGUUGGCCGAUGGUCUGCAAUACAUAUUCUCCCAUGUUGGUCAGUUGACCGGUAUGUACAGAUACAAGUAUCGUCUGAUGCGGCAAAUCAGGAUGUGCAAAGAUCUGAAGCACUUGAUAUACUAUCGUUUCAACACUGGUCCUGUUGGAAAAGGACCUGGCUGUGGUUUUUGGGCUCCUAUGUGGAGAGUGUGGCUGUUCUUCCUUCGUGGUAUUGUGCCCUUGCUUGAAAGGUGGCUAGGUAAUUUGCUGGCCAGGCAGUUUGAAGGUCGCCAUUCAAAAGGAGUUGCUAAAACAGUAACCAAGCAACGUGUCGAGUCUCACUUUGAUCUGGAACUUCGAGCUGCAGUUAUGCAUGAUGUCCUUGAUGCUAUGCCAGAGGGCAUCAAGCAAAACAAGGCCAGGACUAUACUGCAGCAUCUUAGUGAGGCAUGGCGCUGCUGGAAGGCAAAUAUCCCCUGGAAGGUCCCUGGCCUGCCAGUUCCUAUUGAGAACAUGAUACUCCGUUAUGUGAAGUCCAAGGCUGAUUGGUGGACAAAUGUUGCUCACUAUAAUCGUGAGCGUAUCCGGCGUGGUGCUACAGUUGACAAGACUGUCUGCCGCAAAAAUCUUGGAAGGUUAACUCGUUUGUGGCUGAAGGCAGAACAAGAGAGGCAACACAACUACUUGAAAGACGGGCCAUAUGUGACACCUGAAGAAGCAGUUGCUAUUUAUACAACCACGGUCCAUUGGCUGGAGUCAAGGAAGUUCUCACCGAUUCCAUUUCCCCCACUCUCAUACAAGCAUGAUACCAAACUUCUUAUAUUGGCACUGGAAAGGCUGAAAGAGUCAUACAGUGUGGCAGUAAGAUUAAAUCAACUGCAGCGAGAGGAACUGGGUUUAAUAGAGCAAGCAUAUGAUAAUCCACAUGAAGCUUUGUCAAGGAUAAAACGGCAUCUUCUUACUCAGCGUGCUUUUAAAGAAGUUGGUAUUGAGUUUAUGGAUCUGUACAGCUACCUGAUCCCGGUAUAUGAAAUUGAGCCGCUUGAGAAAAUUACUGAUGCAUACCUUGACCAAUACUUGUGGUAUGAAGGGGACAAACGCCACCUCUUCCCAAAUUGGGUAAAGCCUGCUGAUUCAGAACCACCUCCUCUACUUGUUUACAAGUGGUGCCAAGGCAUAAAUAAUUUGCAGGACAUAUGGGACACUAGCGAUGGGCAGUGUGUUGUGAUGCUGCAGACAAAAUUUGAGAAGUUCUUUGAAAAAAUUGAUCUGACUCUGUUGAACAGGCUUCUACGGUUGGUCUUGGACCAUAACAUUGCUGAUUAUGUCACUGCAAAGAACAAUGUUGUGCUGUCUUACAAGGAUAUGAGUCACACAAAUUCUUAUGGGCUUAUUCGGGGUCUUCAGUUUGCAUCUUUUAUUGUGCAGUACUAUGGGCUGGUGCUGGAUCUCCUACUUCUUGGUUUAACACGAGCUAGUGAGAUUGCAGGGCCGCCUCAGAUGCCAAAUGAGUUCCUUACAUAUACUGACACUAAAGUUGAGACAAGGCAUCCCAUCAGGCUGUAUUCUCGAUAUAUCGAUAAGGUGCAUAUAAUGUUCCGGUUCACUCAUGAAGAGGCAAGGGAUUUGAUUCAGCGGUACUUGACAGAGCAUCCUGAUCCUAAUAAUGAGAACAUGGUCGGUUACAACAACAAGAAAUGUUGGCCUAGAGAUGCAAGAAUGAGGCUCAUGAAGCAUGAUGUUAAUCUGGGAAGAAGUGUAUUUUGGGAUAUGAAGAAUCGCCUGCCAAGGAGCAUUACAACAUUAGAAUGGGAGAAUGGCUUUGUCUCUGUAUACAGCAAGGAUAACCCAAACCUGCUCUUUAGCAUGUCUGGGUUUGAGGUCCGUAUACUGCCAAAGAUACGUAUGACUCAGGAGGCAUUCAGCAACACAAAGGAUGGAGUAUGGAACUUGCAGAAUGAGCAGACAAAAGAAAGGACAGCUAUUGCAUUUUUGAGGGUUGAUGAUGAACACAUGAAGGUGUUUGAGAACCGUGUCAGGCAAAUCCUUAUGUCAUCAGGGUCAACGACAUUUACCAAGAUAGUCAACAAGUGGAACACUGCUCUCAUUGGCCUCAUGACAUAUUUCCGUGAAGCAACUGUUCAUACACAGGAACUACUGGAUCUGCUUGUAAAAUGUGAAAACAAGAUCCAGACUCGCAUAAAGAUUGGCCUGAACUCAAAGAUGCCUAGCAGGUUUCCACCAGUUAUCUUCUAUACACCCAAGGAAAUUGGAGGUUUGGGUAUGUUGUCAAUGGGUCACAUUUUGAUACCACAGAGUGAUCUUAGGUAUAGCAAACAGACAGAUGUUGGUGUGACACAUUUUCGAAGUGGUAUGAGUCAUGAAGAGGACCAGCUUAUCCCCAACUUGUAUCGCUACAUCCAACCAUGGGAGAGCGAGUUCAUUGAUUCUCAGCGUGUUUGGGCUGAGUAUGCUUUGAAGAGGCAGGAAGCACAAUCGCAGAAUAGGCGCUUAACACUUGAAGAUCUGGAAGAUUCAUGGGAUAGAGGCAUACCCCGUAUCAACACUUUAUUCCAGAAAGACCGCCACACUUUGGCCUAUGACAAAGGGUGGAGGGUGCGGACAGACUUUAAGCAGUAUCAAGUGCUGAAACAGAACCCAUUCUGGUGGACACAUCAGCGACAUGAUGGAAAGCUGUGGAAUCUGAAUAACUACAGAACUGAUGUCAUCCAAGCACUUGGUGGUGUGGAAGGUAUCCUGGAGCAUACCUUAUUUAAAGGAACAUAUUUCCCUACUUGGGAGGGUUUGUUUUGGGAGAAGGCUUCAGGUUUCGAGGAAUCAAUGAAGUACAAAAAGCUGACAAAUGCACAGCGUUCUGGGCUUAAUCAAAUCCCCAACAGAAGAUUUACCCUCUGGUGGUCGCCAACCAUUAAUCGUGCAAACGUAUAUGUUGGUUUCCAGGUUCAGCUAGAUCUGACAGGGAUAUUCAUGCAUGGUAAAAUUCCAACCCUGAAGAUCUCUCUGAUUCAGAUUUUCCGUGCACAUCUUUGGCAGAAGGUCCAUGAAAGUGUUGUUAUGGAUCUUUGCCAAGUUCUGGAUCAGGAGUUGGAUGCGCUGGAGAUUGAGACAGUACAAAAGGAGACAAUACAUCCCAGGAAGAGUUACAAGAUGAACAGUUCAUGUGCAGAUGUACUCCUUUUUGCUGCACAUAGGUGGCAGAUGUCCAAACCAAGCUUAGUUUCCGAGUCAAAGGAUGUCUUUGAUCAGAAAGCGAGUAACAAGUACUGGAUUGAUGUGCAACUACGAUGGGGAGACUACGAUUCACAUGACAUAGAACGUUAUACAAGAGCAAAAUUUAUGGACUACACGACAGAUAAUAUGUCCAUCUACCCUUCUCCGACUGGAGUGAUGAUUGGACUUGAUCUAGCUUAUAAUUUGCACUCUGCUUUUGGCAAUUGGUUCCCUGGGUCAAAGCCCCUCCUCCAGCAAGCCAUGAACAAGAUCAUGAAGUCAAAUCCUGCUCUGUAUGUGCUGAGGGAGAGAAUAAGAAAGGGUCUUCAGUUGUAUUCAUCUGAACCCACCGAGCCAUAUUUGUCUUCGCAGAACUAUGGAGAGAUAUUCAGCAAUCAAAUCAUAUGGUUUGUGGAUGACACAAAUGUCUAUCGAGUUACCAUUCACAAAACCUUCGAGGGUAACCUGACCACCAAACCUAUCAACGGUGCUAUCUUUAUUUUCAAUCCAAGAACUGGGCAACUAUUUCUGAAGGUCAUCCACACAAGUGUAUGGGCAGGACAAAAGCGUCUAGGGCAGCUGGCCAAGUGGAAAACUGCCGAGGAGGUUGCUGCGUUAGUUCGGUCUCUUCCUGUAGAAGAGCAGCCAAAGCAAAUUAUUGUGACAAGGAAGGGUAUGUUGGAUCCAUUGGAAGUCCAUCUGCUUGAUUUCCCUAACAUUGUUAUCAAGGGCAGUGAGUUGCAGCUGCCAUUCCAAGCUUGCUUGAAGAUUGAGAAGUUUGGCGAUCUUAUUCUCAAGGCUACGGAACCACAGAUGGUUCUUUAUAACAUAUACGAUGACUGGCUGAAAAGUAUCUCGUCCUACACCGCAUUCUCUCGUCUUGUGCUUAUAUUACGAGCAUUACAUGUCAAUAAUGAGAAGGCCAAGAUGUUGCUGAAGCCUGACAAGACAAUUGUUACGGAACCACAUCAUAUCUGGCCAUCUUUGACCGACGAGCAGUGGCUGAAGGUCGAAUGUGCGCUCAGGGAUCUCAUUCUUUCUGAUUAUGCGAAGAAAAACAACGUUAAUACUUCUGCACUUACGCAAUCUGAGAUUCGUGAUAUAAUACUUGGUGCUGAAAUAGCUCCACCAUCACAGCAGAGGCAACAGAUUGCUGAGAUUGAGAAACAGUCCCGAGAGACAAAUCAGGUAACUGCACAGACAACAAGGACAGUUAAUGUGCAUGGAGAUGAGCUCAUCGUCACAACAACCAGUCCGUAUGAGCAAGCAGCGUUUGCAUCGAAGACAGAUUGGCGUGUCAGGGCCAUCUCUGCUACGAACCUGUAUCUCCGUGUCAACCACAUUUAUGUUAACUCGGAUGAUAUAAAGGAGACUGGCUAUACUUACAUCAUGCCAAAGAAUAUAUUGAAGAAGUUCAUAUGCAUAGCAGAUCUGCGGACACAGGUUGCAGGUUUCCUGUAUGGGCUGAGUCCACAGGAUAAUCCCCAAGUCAAGGAGAUCAGAUGCAUAUCCAUUCCGCCACAGCAUGGAACUCACCAGAUGGUGACUUUGCCAGCGAAUCUCCCAGAGCAUGAGUUCCUUGCUGACUUGGAGCCGUUGGGAUGGAUGCAUACCCAGCCAAAUGAAGCUCCUCAGCUAUCACCUCAGGAUUUGACAUCACAUGCUAAAAUUUUGGAGAACAACAAGCAGUGGGAUGGUGAGAAGUGCAUCAUUUUGACCUGCAGCUUCACCCCAGGAUCGUGCUCGUUGACUGCAUACAAACUGACACCAAGUGGUUAUGAGUGGGCCCGUGGCAACAAGGACAACGGGAGCAACCCACAAGGGUACCUCCCAACUCACUACGAAAAGGUCCAGAUGCUUCUCAGCGACCGCUUCCUUGGAUUCUACAUGGUUCCUGACAACGCUCCAUGGAACUACAACUUCAUGGGAGUCAAGCACGACCCACUGAUGAAGUACAGCAUGAAGCUGGGCACACCCCGCGACUUCUAUCAUGAGGACCACAGGCCGACGCACUUCCUGGAGUUCAGCAACAUUGAGGAGGGCGAGGUCGCGGAGGGGGACAGGGAGGACACCUUCUCGUAG
rnacentral:rRNA from 1 species